AGUAGCGGGAUGGAGGUGCGAUAAACAAGCCACAGCUGCUUCAGCCAGAUUUCCAUCCAAUUGACAACAACACAUCCAAACCAAUAGAAUUAAUUUUGUGAGCAGGAUUUAAUGAGACAAGGCAUCAAUUUUUUUUAUUGAAAUCCAAGGAGGAGCUUCCUACUGUGUUCCUUUCCUCAGCCAACCAGCAAAAGAAGAAUGGCUGAUGAAGGCAUAUGAAUAUGCUGAAAUGGCAAAACUUACUGUAUUAGUAAGAGAUAGUCAUAUAGAAAACUCCGUAGAAGAUUGGAAACCCUUUUUGCGGUAUAUGAAAAACAAUGUGAAUUUGGAUUUAUUAAUGGGGGUGAAAUGUAAAAAUAACAGUUGGGGAAUUUGUUAUAGUAAUGAAACUAAUAGAUUACUAUGGUGAUGAAAACAAGGAUUAGGACAUAAUAACCAGAUAUAUAAAUACGAAUAAAAUAUUUACA